UACGUAGGGUGCAAGCGUUGUCCGGAAUUAUUGGGCGUAAAGGGCUCGUAGGCGGUCCGUCACGUCGGGAGUGAAAAACUCGGAGCUCAACUCCGAGCCUGCUUCCGAUACGGGCAGACUAGAGGUAGGCAGGGGGAGAGCGGAACUCCUGGUGUAGCGGUGGAAUGCGCAGAUAUCAGGAAGAACACCGGUGGCGAAGGCGGCAUUCUGGACCGAUAUUGACGCUGAGGAGCGAAAGCCAGGGGAGCAAACGGG
rnacentral:rRNA from 1 species